GACGAACGCUGGCGGCGUGCCUAAUACAUGCAAGUCGAGCGAAUGACGAGAAGCUUGCUUCUCUGAUUUAGCGGCGGACGGGUGAGUAACACGUGGGCAACCUGCCCUACAGAUCGGGAUAGCUCAGGGAAACCUGGGCUAAUACCGGAUAAUCCUCCGAAUCACAUGUUUUGAAGUUGAAAGGCGCUUCGGCGUCACUGUAGGAUGGGCCCGCGGUGCAUUAGCUAGUUGGUGGGGUAACGGCCUACCAAGGCAACGAUGCAUAGCCGACCUGAGAGGGUGAUCGGCCACAUUGGGACUGCGACACGGCCCAAACUCCUACGGGAGGCAGCAGUAGGGAAUCUUCCACAAUGGACGAAAGUCUGAUGGAGCAACGCCGCGUGAGUGAUGAAGGUUUUCGGAUCGUAAAACUCUGUUGUAAGGGAAGAACAAGUACGUUAGGAAAUGAACGUACCUUGACGGUACCUUAUUAGAAAGCCACGGCUAACUACGUGCCAGCAGCCGCCGUAA
rnacentral:rRNA from 1 species